rnacentral:rRNA from 1 species
GAUGAACGCUAGCGGCAGGCUUAAUACAUGCAAGUCGAGGGGCAGCAUGAGUGUAGCAAUACAUUUGAUGGCGACCGUCAAACGGGUGCGGCACACGUACACAACCUUCCUAUAAGUGGGGAAUAGCCCAGCGAAAUUUGGAUUAAUACCCCGUAACGUAAUGAUGUGGCAUCACAUUAUUAUUAUAGCUUCGGCGCUUAUUGAUGGGUGUGCGGCUGAUUAGCUAGUUGGCGGGGUAACGGCCCACCAAGUCUACGAUCAGUAGCUGAUGGGAGAGCAUGAUCAGCCACACGGGCACUGAGACACGGGCCCGACUCCUACGGGAGGCAGCAGUAAGGAAUAUUGGUCAAUGGACGCAAGUCUGAACCAGCCAUGCCGCGUGAAGGAUUAAGGUCCUCUGGAUUGUAAACUUCUUUUAUCUGGGACGAAAAAAGGCUAUUCUUAGUCACUUGACGGUACCAGAUGAAUAAGCACCGGCUAACUCCGUGCCAGCAGCCGCGGUAAGAC